rnacentral:rRNA from 1 species
UUCUUCGGAAUUUGAGACCGGCGCACGGGUGCGUAACGCGUAUGCAAUCUGCCUUCCACAGAGGGAUAGCCCAGAGAAAUUUGGAUUAAUACCUCAUAGCAUAAUAAGCUGGCAUCAGCUUAUUAUUAAAGUCACAACGGUGGAAGAUGAGCAUGCGUCCCAUUAGCUAGUUGGUAAGGUAACGGCUUACCAAGGGGACGAUGGGUAGGGGUCCUGAGAGGGAGAUCCCCCACACUGGUACUGAGACACGGACCAGACUCCUACGGGAGGCAGCAGUGAGGAAUAUUGGUCAAUGGGCGCAAGCCUGAACCAGCCAUGCCGCGUGCAGGAUGACGGUCCUAUGGAUUGUAAACUGCUUUUGUACGGGAAGAAACACUCCUACGUGUAGGAGCUUGACGGUACCGUAAGAAUAAGGAUCGGCUAACUCCGUGCCAGCAGCCGCGGUAAUACGGAGGAUCCAAGCGUUAUCCGGAAUCAUUGGGUUUAAAGGAGUCCGUANGCGGUCUUGUAAGUCAGUGGUGAAAGCCCAUCGCUCAACGGUGGAACGGCCAUUGAUACUGCAGGACUUGAAUUACUGGGGAAGCACUAGAAUAUGUAGUGUAGCGGUGAAAUGCUUAGAGAUUACAUGGA